rnacentral:rRNA from 1 species
UACGUAGGGGGCUAGCGUUGUCCGGAAUCAUUGGGCGUAAAGAGCGUGUAGGCGGUCCGGUAAGUCAGCUGUGAAAGUCAAGGGCUCAACCCUUGAAUGCCGGUUGAUACUGUCGGGCUAGAGUCCGGAAGAGGCGAGUGGAAUUCCCGGUGUAGCGGUGAAAUGCGCAGAUAUCGGGAGGAACACCAAUGGCGAAGGCAGCUCGCUGGGACGGUACUGACGCUGAGACGCGAAAGCGUGGGGAGCAAACAGG